GACUGCUAAUACCGGAUGUGCCUUAUGGUGAAAGAUUAAUUGCCUGAAAGUGAGCUCGCGUCAGAUUAGCUAGUAGGUGGUGUAAGAGACUACCUAGGCUCCGAUCUGUAGCUGGUCUGAGAGGACGAUCAGCCACACUGGAACUGAGACACGGUCCAGACUCCUACGGGAGGCAGCAGUGGGGAAUUUUCCGCAAUGGGCGAAAGCCUGACGGAGCAAUACCGCGUGAGGGACGAAGGCGUUUUGGGUCGUAAACCUCUUUUCUCAAGGAAGAAUUAGACGGUACUUGAGGAAUAAGCAUCGGCUAACUCCGUGCCAGCAGCCGCGGUAAUACGGAGGAUGCAAGCGUUAUCCGGAAUGAUUGGGCGUAAAGCGUCCGCAGGUGGUUUAAUAAGUCUGCUGUUAAAGCGUCAUGCUUAACAUGAUUACGGCAGUGGAAACUAUUCAACUAGAGUAUGUUAGGGGUAGAGGGAAUUCCCAGUGUAGCGGUGAAAUGCGUAGAGAUUGGGAAGAACACCGGUGGCGAAAGCGCUCUGCUAGGACAAUACUGAUAGUAUCUGGAGAGUUUUCUUCGAAGUGAAUGAG
rnacentral:rRNA from 1 species